CACGCUCUGUCUCUCACUCUCUCAAAAAUAAAUAAAAAACAUUAAAAAAAAAUUCUCUCCGAAUAUUCAACAGAUAAUACCUUGCAAAUCCAGAGUGUUCACCCGUUCUAGAACAAAGCCCUAAACACAUCUGGGAAUUUCCAGUCAGACCAGAAGAACACCAGAGGGAGUGGGCUCUGGCUGGGAGUUUUAAAAAUGCUGAAGCAACUGCCAAGAAAUAAUCUCUCCUUAGACACUGAGUGGGCAGAAGUGGUGUAUGACUCCUCUCGAUGCCCUGCUUUAGCUCUUGUCCCUGCCUGACAUCAGGGGAGGGGCAUGGGCAAGAUGGCUGCCUCCCGUGGAUUUGGCAGGAGUCUGGGACUGGAGGCUGAACCUAACCUCUUCCCUCCAGAGCUGACCCGCUUUGCAUCCUGGAGGAGAGGUCACUUUUCCCGUCCUUCUCCUUUCCCUGGGCAAUUUAGAGGGGAGAAACUGUAAAGUUUUCUUGAAGUUGCUGAUCACAUGUAAGGAGGAGAGAUUGCAGCUCAAGGGAAGAUCCUUGGGAAUCAGGGUUCAGAGGGAGAAGAAGAGAACUAGGGAGAAGAUGGAAGCCUUCCAAGCCUGCAGGGUGAGGACAUGCACACCGGUUUUUGAGGAAGAGCUCAGCUUGGGCGAAUAACACUGGCACGGAGACAGAACUUUGGUUGAGGUCGGGCAAAAGGACUUGAUCGUGGGAGACAGAUUGAGAGCCUGCUAACCACCGCCCCACAUCAGAACAGAACCGGCCUCAAGGUGACUUUGCAAUGCUCCACCCAACUGCCCUGUGAAGGAAGCACCUUUAAUUCUCUCUGGUUCCAGAGCCUGGGGUGGUGUUGUAGCUGUGGAAAUGCGCGUCUUGUGCAGGCAGGACAUUUAAUGCUGGCAUUAAGAUGUUGAGUUCAGAUUGUUCUAUCUGCCAAUACGUGACCCGGAGCUAUCUUAAAUCCUUUUGGAAUGAGGUAGGGUACACACUCAAAAAAUGUACAUGUCUGUACAAGUGGAUACAUUUCUCCAAGCAGCCUUAA